UACGUAGGGAGCAAGCGUUGUCCGGAAUCAUUGGGCGUAAAGAGCGCGCAGGCGGCUUGGUAAGUCGGAUGUGAAAUCCCGAGGCUCAACCUCGGGUCUGCAUCCGAUACUGCCCGGCUAGAGGUAGGUAGGGGAGAUCGGAAUUCCUGGUGUAGCGGUGAAAUGCGUAGAGAUGUGGAGGAACACCGAUGGCGAAGGCAGCCUUCUGGGCCAACACUGGACGCUCAUGCACGAAAGCGUGGGGAGCAAACAGG
rnacentral:rRNA from 1 species